AGCAGCCGCGGUAAUUCCAGCUCCAAUAGCGUAUAUUAAAGUUGUUGCAGUUAAAAAGCUCGUAGUUGAAUUUCGGGAUCAAGGAAUCGGUCAUGCCUUGGUAUGUACUGGUUUUAUUGGUUCUCACCUUCUAAAGAACCAUAAUGUCAUUCAUUUGAUGUUAUGGGGAAUUAGGACUGUUACCUUGAAAAAUUAGAGUGUUUAAAGCAGGCUUACGCUUGAAUACAUUAGCAUGGAAUAACGGAAUAGGACGUUUGAUUCUAUUUUGUUGGUUUCUAGGAUCGACGUAAUGAUUAAUAGGGAUAGUUGGGGGCAUUAGUAUUCAAUUGUCAGAGGUGAAAUUCUUGGAUUUAUUGAAGACUAACUACUGCGAAAGCAUUUGCCAAGGAUGUUUUCAUUAAUCAAGAACGAAAGUUAGGGGAUCGAAGACGAUCAGAUACCGUCGUAGUC
rnacentral:rRNA from 1 species